rnacentral:rRNA from 1 species
GACGGAGGGUGCUAGCGUUGUUCGGAAUUACUGGGCGUAAAGGGCGCGUAGGCGGCCGCCCGCGUCGGAUGUGAAAGCCCGGGGCUCAACCCCGGAACGGCAUCCGAUACGGGGCGGCUGGAGACCGGGAGAGGAGGGUGGAAUAGCCAGUGUAGAGGUGAAAUUCGUAGAUAUUGGCUGGAACACCGGUGGCGAAAGCGGCUCUCUGGCCCGGUUCUGACGCUGAGGCGCGAAAGCGUGGGGAGCAAACAGGAUGAGAAACCCCCGUAGUCC